CUACGUCGUUGGUCUAAAUUUCGCUUCAAAAAGUAGAGUGAGAGAGUUUUAAAAACCUGCGAGAGCGAAGAGGAAGAAAGAGAGUAGUGAGGCAGCGUCGGAGGAGAAGAGGAGAUAUGGCAGCGGCUGCUCCGGCGAAAUGUUUUCUCGUUACCGGUCCUCCGGGCGUAGGGAAGACGACACUCAUAAUUCGAGUGUUGGAAAGCCUAAAAACUGCUUACCCAAACUUGAAGGUUCAAGGUUUCUAUACUCGUGAAAUAAGAGAAGGAAGUGAGAGAGUAGGCUUUGAAGUGGUGACACUCGAUGGACGUACUGGUCCUCUCGCUUCCAACAAAAUCUCCAGCGCUGAGUCUCUUAGAUGGCCUACCGUAGGGAGGUACAGAGUAGAUGUGGCUUCCUUUGAAUCACUAGCGUUGCCAGAGUUGCAGGUCAAGGAAGAUACUGAACUUUUUAUCAUUGAUGAAGUUGGUAAGAUGGAGCUGUGCAGUUCCUUUUUCUUUCCUGCUGUACUAAGAGUCCUGCAGUCAAAUAUUCCACUCUUGGCUUCUAUUCCCAUACCAAAAUCUGGCAGAGAUAUACCUGGAGUUGCAAGGUUGAGAAAUGAACCUGGUGCUACUGUUUUUACGUUGAGUAAAAAUAACAGAGAUGCCAUGAAAGAGCAGAUCUAUUCCCAUCUGACAGACUUGCUACCUAAGCUGUAGAUGUCUUGACAUUACGGUUGAGGCAGUAUAUGAAUGACGGCAAUAUCAGCAGGAACUUGACCUGACUUCCCUGUAGGAAGGUAGUCUUUUUCCUCCAUUGGCCAAUCUCAAAUAUUCAUAACCACAAAA